rnacentral:rRNA from 1 species
ACGUAGGGUCCAAGCGUUAAUCGGAAUUACUGGGCGUAAAGCGUGCGCAGGCGGCUGUGUAAGACAGAUGUGAAAUCCCCGGGCUUAACCCGGGAAUUGCAUUUGAGACUGUACGGCUUGAGUAUGGCAGAGGGGGGUAGAAUUCCACGUGUAGCAGUGAAAUGCGUAGAGAUGUGGAGGAAUACCGAUGGCGAAGGCAGCCCCCUGGGCUAACACUGACGCUCAUGCGCGAGAGCGUGGGGAGCAAACAG